UAGCGAGUACUACGACAUUAUAGAGCACAACAUCAACCGAAAAACGAAGAGAAAAGAAACCAACAUUAUACUUUCCAAUUACCAGGCGCCCAUAGCCUAUUUUUCUCUGAUUCCAAUCAAAAUUCGCAUUCAAUAUCACAAUAUUAGAUAAUAAUUUUAAAUAAAGAAAAGAGAGAUCAGCGAAUGCACUAAGCAACUAAAAAUAAAAUUUAAAAUAAGAAGAAAAGAAUUGAAGAAGAACGAAGAAGACGAUGAAUGGGAAAAAAUAAAAUGACUUGCCUGGUAAAUAGAGGAGGAGAGGAGAGUUGUCCAAGCGAGAC
rnacentral:misc_RNA from 1 species